GGUCCUCGGAUUCUACUUCGUGAUUCCUUAUAUAAGGAUCAAGUUUUUGACAUUGUAGUAGACGCCUUAAGAAAAUUUUGAAAGCUGAGUCCCGGGUUUCGUCAGUCCACAUCACAUUUUCUUCUGAGAAUGAAUGGCAAAACCACAAGGAAAAGGGUUUUCUACGGAGGAUAGGAAUGCAGUACCAUUGGACCAAUCGAAACUAUACAUGGUACAUGCUUCAAGUUUCACUGUCCGUGCCACAGUUUUGAUGACUUUUUGAUGGACAUGAAGCAGAACAAAAGGAAAA